rnacentral:misc_RNA from 1 species
GGCGUGGAUGGGGCGGCCG